CAUUUCCGCUUGACCGCGUUCGGGGAAAUAGCAUUUUAAAAGAAAAAAAAUGAUGACAAUUUUUAUCACAUCAAACAACAUAUUUAAAGGUUCGUAUUGGCCUUGAAUGAUCAACUUUCUUUUUGGCUUCAAUCAGAACAGACGUAGCAUUUUAGGGGGAUUCAAUUCAAAUUCAAGUACAAUGAAUAUUGUUACAGACUGUUUUUUAUACAUAUAUUCUCGAAACAAAUACUUUUUUCUUAUAGACAUGAUAAUAAUAAUGCAAUAGAAGUUUUGUUAUUUAUUAUGAUUCAAAAAACAUAUCGUGCGAUUUUCGUAGUACAGAACCCCGUACACAGUGAUUAUUUUAUUCACAUUGCUGGUUUGGGAUUUGGCGAAAAGUAUAAUCAACAAAAACUUUAAAUGAAAUUUGUACCAGCCUUAUGUACCUAUUUGUCCGAUUUUUGGGUUCUUUGACAAAAUUCGAAAAAAGGCAAAUUUCCUUGCAAAUUUCUCAAAAACAACAUCUAAUUAUGCGGUUGAAUACAAAUGUUAAUUGAACAAAAAAAAUCUACUACAGUCCAGACUUGAUUAUCCGAAGGCUUCGGAAAAAUUUCACUUCGGAUAAUCGAAACUUCGGAUAAUAGAAUCACGAAAAAAAAUUUGGUUGAUGCCUAAUUUUUUAUUGUCGAGCGUAUGUCCCCUAAACUACGGUAAAGUGAUUUAGAACUUUUAAAUCCAAGGCCAAUAUGGCGGUGUUGAAAUAUUGAAAAAAAGCAUUUUAUUAUUUAAUAGACAAUCAACUAUUCAAAUUUGACUAAAAUGGGGUCGAGUACUCAAAUUUGAUGUUUAAAACAAGUAAAAGAAAAAAACGAAAAAAAAAUUGUUCUUGAUUCGAUUAUUCGAAGUCCCAUACAAACCAUCGGAUAAUCGAACUUCGGAUAAUCGAAACUUCGGAUAAUCGAGGCUUCAGAUAAUCGAGUCUGGACUGUAAUUGGGUCCUAAAAUUAAGCUUAAAUUUGUGAUAUUAUUGUUCACAACGAUAAGGCUUAUUUUUCUGAGUACAAUGACCCUUUGAACGACCGCAAAGGAUUUAAAAUGGAUUUGUAAUUCAAUUUUUAAAAAUUCGCUUCUCGGCCCUUCUUGGCAGAAAAGCUUCUACUUGACAGCUCGUUCCAAGGGGACCAUUGUUGAUCCAUCGGAAAAAUGUUGUCUUGUCAAUAUUUUUUUUUUGCAUAAAAAUGAAAAAAAAACGUUAUCAGAAAUGGUUUUUAAUCAUGUUUCUUACCGUUGUUCAUAAAAAUUGACAAAGCACUUUACUACUCAAUUUACAACAUUUAACCAACAGCAUACCCGAAAAACCCGAAAGACCGAGCCACGUAGCCCAGUGGUAACGCUUCCGCCUCGUAAGCGGUAGAUCGGGGUUCAAAUCCCGGCUCGGACCAACACAACUGGCGACCUAUGGAAUGUUAACAUUAACCUUAACAUGUUAACAUUAAGUUGAGAAUGAAACUGCCACUGAAUCCGCUUUGUAAAUGCCGGCCCCGAUACUCUUCAAGGGUGUUCCCCUCAGGAACUGGGAAAGAUUUACUUUAUACCCGAAAAAGCUGUUUGUUCGGUAAAAUUGAGAAAGAAAAUAACUGUUAGUCAUGGAAAAAGGCUUUAGCGAAAAUGAUGAUUAGGGGAUAUGAAAAUUUAAAUUUAAAUAAACGGCAAUUGGCGUAAGUGUCACUUCGGGGAAAUGGCAUUCGGGAAAAUGGCCGAUUAGGGGAAAUGGCAUUCGGGGAUAUAGCCGAUUAGGGGAAAUGAUAUUCGGGGAAAUGGCAUUCGGGGAUGUGGCUGAUUAGGGGAAGUGGUAUUCGGGGAUGUGACCAAUUAGGGGAAAUGAUUUUCGGGGAAAUGGCAUUCGGGGAAAUGUCAUUCGGGGAAAUGAGCUAGACCCAUUCAAAUUUAACUAAAAUGGGGUCGCUGAACUCGAAUUUUAUGUUUAAAAUAAGAAAAUGAAAGAACACAAAAAAAAUAUUUUUCGUGAUUCUUUUAUCCUAAGUCCCAUACAAAUUUUCGGAUAAUCGAACUUCGGACAAUCGAGGCUUCGGAUAAUCGAGUCUAUACUGUAUCAAGAUAGGAAUUGCAGCAAUCUUAAAAAAAAGAGAGCACACCGGUAUCGUUAUGUAAUCAAAGAAACUGUUUUCCAUAAGGAAUUCGUCGAAUUAUUUUAUAAGUUGAUAAUAUUAAAUGUUUGUGAAUUUGGGAACAUAUUUUUUGAUCGAUUUAGAUAUUUUCAAAUUAUGUCAUGUCAUCACAAUGUCAUUUUUUAGGAAUUGUUUUUCUAUGAAGAUUUACAUAUUAACAAGUUCACUCAUCAUUCAUCACGCGUCUUUCCCUUAUUUUAAAUUUAUAGCCACAAUUUCACUCAUGAGCUAAAUAUUAACUCAAAUUUCAAAUUCCCCUCCCCGCAAAAUGACAUCCAUCGAAGCGCGUUCAGAUUUGUCACAUUUCAAUUUCAUCCCC